rnacentral:rRNA from 1 species
AUGAAGAGACUUUUGAGAGGCUCGUCGAGCCGAAGCUCUAAGGAAAAACAAAAGGAAGAAGAGGAGAAGCCCAAAUUUAAUUUGCCUCGCACCGCGGAGGUCCGGCCGUGUGAAUGGCCUUCCGAUGACUUCUUGAGGAGAGCUGGGAUUUAUGAAGAUUUCUAUUUAUUGAUUGAGAAUGCUGGCCUCACCAACAUCCUCCACGACCAACAUCAUCAGUAUCUCUUAAUCACAAAUACUUUUGUGCAAAACUUCUACUUUUUCCCUAAGAAAUCACCUCCAACAGUAGAGUUUCAUUUAUAUGAUGUUGUUAAAGAGAUGACAUUAGCUGAAUUCUGUGAGGUUUGCAAAAUACCCUUUGAGGGCAACUUAGAUGAACCCUACCGUAAUGAAGUAGAAGCUUUUAUUAACACUAUCACUGUGGGAGAAACCAGGAAGGUUUCUGAUGCAAGGAUCACUAGCAUACAUUUUCCUAUUUUACGCUACUUUGCCUUAUUUGCUAGUUGUUGCUUGAUUGGACGCGGGAACUAUGGGAACCUUAGUAUUCCUGAUAUUAUUAUUUUGCUCCAUGGUUUAUACCGCAAUAACUCUGUUAGUAUGGGUGGAAUUGUUGCUAGACGGUUAAGUUUGAACCGCACUAAGGGCCCAAUCUUUGGAGGCAUUUAUGCUUCACGCCUAGUUGAAAUUUUUGAAAUACCUAUUAGGCAUGAGGAGAAAGAAGAAACAGCGCUGCCCCGUGCUUAUUUAGAUUAUAAGAGUAUGAUAGCGCAUGAUUUUCUUGUUAAGAGUCGCGAUGGGGAGCUCAAAUAUAAAUUAUACUUUGAUAAACAUCACCCUGGGACUAUUACUUUGCCUGCUCCUUCUUUGUUUAACUUGUCUGCAGAACUUCACAUCGUUCCGUGGUCGGCUGUUCAAGCCUAUCGGAACCCUGCACCAGCCCCGGAUCCGGAGCCACAUGAUGAGCCUCCACGACUAUCUGUUUAUUCUUGGGAUCCAGAGGAGGCUGCCAGCCAGUGCCAGUCAGAGUCUUCUUCGUCACACUAUGACCCCAGCUACACCUACGGGUAUCCGCCAGGCCAUCCCUGGAAAUAA